rnacentral:lncRNA from 1 species
CCAUCGAUCACACUUAUCUGGCCAAUUUGGUGAAUUAUGUUUUGAUUAGAUCGCUAAGUGAUUCGAGUUAACCCAUACCAUUAAGGUUAAUCAGUGUGACUGAUCUAGGUGCCAGUUUGAUCAGCAUGAUCCUAAUCCGAUUCAAUGACUUGGUGAAGUCAGUGGGAGGAUUGUGGUCUACUGAUUGAUUUCUUCUCUCUUCUUAAUUCACAAAUUAAAUCUUCUAAAUUAUUAGGUACUUUAAAUAAGAUAAUUAUGGUG